AGGACGAACGCUGGCGGCGUGCUUAACACAUGCAAGUCGAACGGUGACCUGGGAGCUUGCUCCUGGUGAUCAGUGGCGAACGGGUGAGUAACACGUGAGCAAUCUGCCCUUGACUCUGGGAUAACUGCGGGAAACUGUAGCUAAUACCGGAUGCGACAACUGACGGCAUCGUCUGGUUGUGGAAAGAAUUUUCGGUCAGGGAUGAGCUCGCGGCCUAUCAGCUAGUUGGUGAGGUAAUGGCUCACCAAGGCGACGACGGGUAGCCGGCCUGAGAGGGUGACCGGCCACACUGGGACUGAGACACGGCCCAGACUCCUACGGGAGGCAGCAGUGGGAAUAUUGCACAAUGGGCGCAAGCCUGAUGCAGCAACGCCGCGUGAGGACGAAGGCCUUGGUUGUAAACCGUCUUUAGUAGGAAGAAGUGGUCUGUUUUUUCAGUUCGUGACGGUACCUGCAGAAAAGCACCGGCUAACUACGUGCCAGUAGA
rnacentral:rRNA from 1 species